GUCCUAGUAGCUUAAACCUACAAAGCAUCGGUCUUGUAAACCGGAAAUGGGGUUCACCCCCUAGGACA